GCGGGUGUAGUUCAUCGGUAGAACGUGUGCUUCCCAAGCAUGAGAGGAGGGUUCGAUUCCCUCCACCCGCACCA
rnacentral:tRNA from 1 species